UCUUGUAAUAAUAAGGAGGUGGUGGAGAAGGUGACUUGUAGUAGUAGGAUGGUGGCGGUGAUAGAGAUGGUGGUAGGGAUGACUUGUAGUAGUAGGAAGGUGGAGGUGAUGGAUUUUGGUGGUGAAGGUGACUUGUAGUAGUAAGGAGGUGGUGGUGAUAGGGGUGGUGGAAGAGGUGACUUGUAAUAGUAUGAAGGUGGUGGUGACAGAAAUGGUGGAGGGAUGACUUGUAGAAGUAGCUAGGGAGGUAACUUGUAGUAGUAGGAAGAAAGUGAUGAUGGAGAUGGUGGGGGUUGUGAUUUAUAAUAGUGAAGGAGAGGAGAAGGUGAAGGUGGAGGGGGACUCUUGUAGUAGUAAAGUGGAUGAAAUGGUUCUUUUAGGAGAGGAGGUGGAGGUGGAGGUGGAGGAGAUAUAUAGUAACAUGGAGGAGAUGAUGGUGAUGGUGGAGGAGAGCUCUUGCAGUAAUAAGAAGGUGGAGCAAGGGAUUUGUAAUAAUAUGAUGGUGGUGGUGGAAGUGGUGACUUAUAAUAGUAAGGAGGGUAUGGGUGUGGUGAGAGUGAAGGGGGUGGUGGAGAAUUGUAAUAAUAUGGUUUGUGAUAAGGAGUAGGUGAAGGCUUGGGCUUGGACUUUUUGCAAUCAUAUGGUUUUUUUAGGAGCAUAAGCAAAUGGCUUGGCCUUUAGCACAACUUCAUACUUUGUCCUUGGACUUCACCUUCAAUUAUUAAGCUUGGUGGGUAUGUUACAACGUGCGCCCUUAGGAGGAGCAGGAAGUUUAGCUUUGCGCAAAGCCGUCAACUAUGAUUGCCAUAAGCCUUUAUGGUCUUGCUUCCUACUUCACAUGUCACUUCGACCGUGACACCUAGCGGUUGAGUAGAAUGUUUGAAUCACACACACAAAUUACAAAUCAAUUUAUCAUAUCACUAGGGAGCAUUACUAUCUUUUAUAUAUUUUUUAAAUUAAAUUUAAAGGAAGGAAACAUGUUUCUGUGAACACAAUGUGGAAUAAUAAAAAAUUACUUAUUUAAGUUUUAUUUUAACACCCACAUUUAUAUGGAAAAUUAAAUAAAAAAUAAGUUAGUGUUAAAGACAAAUACUAAUAAGCUGUGUCAAUUUUUAACUGUUUAAAUAUUAAAAAAAAGUUUCCUGAAAAAAUUUAUUAAAAAAAGUAACAUGUUGAACCUACUCUCGUCACAUUCAUUUGUUGGCUGUAUUGAUUAUAUCAGCAAUAUUCGAUUCUGAACAAAAAAAUAUAAUUAUUUUCUAUUAAUUUUAUUUUUUGCAACAAUAAUUUGUACUUUUAUAAAAAUGUCAACUAAAGUCGAUUACAAAAGGCUGACAUAUUAGUACUUCAAUAAGUAAUAUAGUGUAGGUGAGCAAUCAUUUGCUUUAAUUAGUUGGCAUAGAUCAAUUCUGAAAAUGAUUUUAUUAAUUAAAAUGAUAGUUAUAAAAUAGUUGACUAAAUAAUGUUACACCCGAAUGAAAAUUAAGCAAUAGUUCAAUCGUCAAUUUCGCAAAUUAAUUCAAUAUUGAGUUGAUUCUGAGUACUUUUAAGUUUUUUCCAAUUAAAAAUGGAUAGAUCAAUAAAAAUUAAUAAUUAAAAGAGAAAAUAUUAUUAUUAUUAUCGUUAUUAUUAUUAUUUUGUAAUUUAAAAAUUACAAUAUUUUCUAUUAAAGUACAAGAAAGAAGAUAAUAAUUAAGAUGAUUUGAAACUUUGGAUUCCUCAUAAUUAACGGGUUUCUUAUUCGAAUAUAAAUAAUUGGCAUUAUAUAUUUAAUUAUUUUUAUCUUUAAUUUUUUUAUAUAGAUGUGUCUCAAAAAUACUCUAAAAAAAAUAAUAAAAAUUGUCCCAUUAUAAUUUUUUAAUAAUAUUUCUUCUAUAAUAAAUAUCGAACCAGUCUCGUAACUGUAACUGGAUAAAUAAAAAGAGAAGUUAUUAUUGUAAAUUAAAUUUAUAUUUUUCUGAACAAAUUUGAUAUAGAGAAGAGCAAAUGAGAGAGAAAUGUAGAAUAAAAAUUAAGUGGAAGUGAAAAAAAAAACAGAAAAAAGAUUAAAAAUAUAUUAUAAGACUAUUAUAUCUUGAUUAAAAAUAAUGUUUCAAUUAUAAGUGCAGUUGAAAAUCUUUAAACACAACGAUACACAUAAUGAUAUUGAUAGAAUUAUACAAAUAAAAAUAUGAGCUUGACGACCAAUAAAAAAUAAUUAAAAAAAACAUAGCAAAAGGGCAGCUCAUGUUCCCCAAUUAAAUAUUGUAGAAAACAAAAUUACAGUUAAAUAAUAAUAAUAAAAAGGAUAUUGUUAUUGUGCAUGUGUAUCAAAAUGAAAAAUAAUAAUAAUAAAAAGAGGUAAUGAAUGCACCUUUGAGGUGUUUCUUGUUGUGAGAGUUUUGAGGGCAUUUCAUCUGUAACAAUAGACUUUAUCCACAACUUUAACGAUCAAUGGGUGGGAAUAUUCGUGAGGGUGAGGAUAUGGAAUGUAUGGAGAAUACACGACCGGUGGAGGAGGAGAGUUGUAGUAAUAAGGUGAACGAGGCUUUGGAGAUGGUGGAGGUGGAGAUUGGAGGAAGAGAGUUGUAGUAGUAGUAGGGUGAAUGAGGCUUAGGAGAUGGUGGAGGUAGAGAUUUAUAGUAUUAAGAUGUUUGAGAAUAAAUACGUAUGUUGAAGAUCUAAUUUAUUAUGUUAUUAAUUUGUAAAAAAUUAUUCUUUAUUUUAUUAUCAUAUUCAUUAUUAAAUUGUUAAUUUGAUAAGUCAUUGAUUAAAAUUAGAUGUUUGUUAUCAUGAUAGAGAUUAUGAUAAUGAGAAACAAAUUUUUUAUAAUUUUAAUUCAAAUUAUUCUUGAUAGUAUGAUUAUCGUGAAUAGGACAUCAAUAAUCAUGAUAGAUUAAUAUAUAUGUAAUGAUCUUUAUUGAAUAAAGAUUAAUAAAUUUUUAUUGAAUAAUGAUCUUUAACACGAGAUUAUCAUAGUAAUUAAUAAGUUAUUGGUAUAUUUUAAUUUCGGAUGCCUAAUGUCUUAGAACACUAGUUGAAUGAAUAUUAGAUAUGAUUAAAUACUUGUAAAAUUAAUGAUUAAUCAAGAAGGAAUCCAUCAAUUCUAGGUAAUGAGUUUGAGUUCUAUUUUAGAAUUAAGACAUUGACUAAGGCAAUUGAAUGAAAGAAGAAAAUAGUUUCUUAAGUCAUUCAUGUGUUAGCUUAUUAGAGUUUGACAAUAAUACUAUACUCUAGAGUUAACCUAUGAUGGAAGCAAAUAUUAUAUUCUUCUUCUAUUGGUUCUCGAAGGGAAAAAGAUUUUGUUUCAGGUUAUCCGGACUUUAAGGAGUGUUGUUAAACGCCUAACUUGAUUAAUAAAUUAAUUAUGAUUAAUUUAUUAUCAAUUUAGUAUUGAACCUACAAGGUCACACACAAACGAGUAUUUCAAUAUUUACAAAAGAAAAUAAUUUAUUUUGAUAAUUAAAUUAGAGAAUUUAAUUUAAUCAAAUAAAUAUUUUAGUGAAAUAUUAUUAUAUUUUUUGCUAGGACCAAUAAUAUAAUUAAUAUAUAAAAAGGGAAUAUUAUUUUAUAAUUGUGAAGAUGUCCAUAAAAUAAGAAUAAUAUUCAAUUGCUAUGUAUCAAGGAUGUGAUUAAUUAUUGUAAUUAGUUAUGUGAUUAAUUAUGAAUUAUCUUUAUCUUAAAUCAGUAAGCUUCUUAAAAUAAAAUAUAUGAGAUAAUAUUUUUUUUAUAAAGACAAAUAUAAAUGAAAUUAUUUUAUAUAUUUUCUUUUUUUUCUCACCCAAAUCCAUAUCUCUUUAAUAUUAUGAAUAAAAGUAUCUAUAUGAGGCAAAGCGUACUAAAUAAAGACUGAAAAAGGUUCAAGUCUAGUUUUAGACGUGAAAAGUAGAAAAAAAAUUAUUCUUUAGAGUUUCAUCCAUCAAAGAAUUUGAUAAUAAAGAUUGACCUGAGUAUAGAUACAAGUAGAGUUUUUAGACUAUUAAAAAAAAUGUGUUGCUUCAAAACCUACAUUUUGAUGCAUUAAUUUAUUAUUUAUUUAUUUAUUAUUAUUGUAUAUUUUGAAUAUAAAAUAAAUCCUAAUUUUUUUCCUACAAUUAUUAGAAACAUUUUUAUGUAACUAUCAUACUACACACACGAGGAUAUGAGGAUAUGGUGAAUGAGGUGGUGGAAACUUAUAAUAGUAAGUUGGAAGAGAUGGUGGAGGAGAAGAUUUGUAGGAAUAAGGUAUUGGACGACUUCAUUUUGUGGAAAGAGUCAUGAUUUAAUUUGUUUUUCCUCUCCUUCUCUUAAAAUUUAGUUAUGCCCGUAUAUCUUAUUGAAAACCACAUUUUUUUAGUCUUUCUGGACUGGAUACCCCUACCCCUGGCCAUGAUCAUAAUUCAUAACUAUUAUAUAUAUAUUACACGUAUUUUAUUUGUAACAAAUGGUAUAUCGAUGAGUUUUCUGAAUGUUUGAUCACAUGGAAAAUUUCUGAACGCGUCCUAGAGACUGAAACAGUUUUAUUUGCGCAAUAUAGAGUGUCGGUUUACUAAAAGAACGCACAGAUAGAUAUAUAUCUAUUCCAAAAUGAAGCGUAUGUAUACACGGAAUGAAAAAUGAUUAGUAAUAAUAAAUUAAUUUUACGAAAAUUUAUAAUUCUUUUAUUUUUUAUCUCUCUUAGUCGUUAAAAAGAUUAUGUAAAAUAUUGUAUGAGGACAGUUUCUUAAUAGAAACAUUCUAAUGCAUGUGAUACGUACGGAAUUAUUAUAAUUACAGUUGCACGAAGUAUAUUAUUAAUUAAUAUUCUCCUGUUAACAACCUUUUUUAUUGAGUAGUGUUUUUUCAUUGGAGGAAAUCCUUAAAUAUAUUUUUGGUGAAUCUAAGUUUACUUAAGCGGUACAUUAAUUAGAAAAAAAUAUUUUUUCCCCUAUUUUGUUUAUAUAAGUAAAAAAGUGAGAAUUAUAUGAACGUGCGAAGUGUGUGUAUGAGAUAAUAUUUGUUUUACAUAAUAUACCCUAAAUCAUAAAAGAAGCUUCACUGUGUAACUUAAAUUAAAAUUUGUAUAUCUCCCCCAUGUGCGUCUGACUACUGUUACCAUGCAUAUUCUAAUUAAGAACCCUGUUAGUGCCUUUCUUCUUUUUAUCCUCUUUCCUUCAUGAUCACCAUUGUUAAAUGGCAGUCAAUUCCAUGUACGUAUUGCAUCUCUGAAUUCAAGUCUAGCUGUCUCAUCGAGUUUAAUUUGUGAUAAUUGGUCUCAAGUAAAAAAGACCACUAAUUUGAUCAUUAAAUAUAUAUAUAUAUAUAUAUAUAUAUAUAUAGACAUAUAUAUAUAUAUAUAUAUAUAUAUAUAUAUAUAUAUAUAUAUAUAUAUAUAUAUAUAUAUAUAUAUAUAUAUAUAUAUAUAUAUAUAUAUAUAUAUAUAUAUAUAUAUUGAACAAUGCUAAUUAAAUACCAUAUAUAGUCAGAAAUAGAUCAGUGGGGGGUGCAUGUAUGUUAAGUUAGAAAGAGAUAAGAUCGUGGUUGUGGCAUAUAGACGUGCAUGGGGUGGUGUGGCUUAUAUGAUAUGAGAAAAUCAAGUAAUUGCAGGCAUUUUUUUUAAAAAAUAAAAUGACUUCAUUAAUCGUCUCCAACAUCAGUUAUAUAUAUUGACAUGUUUUUUAAAAUAAUCAAAACUGUCUCGCUCCCAAAUCCCUCUCACUUCUUUUCUUCCCUCUCACUGGCUUAGGGAUUUUCACUUUCGAAAAACAUGACUUAGGCCAUAAUUGAAGCCAUUAGACAGUAAUAUAUCAUAUGAGCAGGGGCCAAUCCAAACUCAAAUGGCUGUGAGGACCGAUAAUAAAAAAUAAAAUUCAUCUAACACAUCAUAAAAAUAUAUAUUCAUAAAUUAAUGUUUUAAAAUGUUAAUUACAAUAAUAAUCUAUUAAAACACGGGACCUUAUUCUUAUAUGUACUAAAUUUUUUAUCAAUUCUUCAAUGUAUAUUAACAAAAUGUGAAUCAAGAAUCCAUCUUUCAUCUUCUUUAAUAAUUAUAGAUUAACAAAAUUUGAGAAAAAUAAAACCUACUAUAUAAUAAGUAGAAUUAGUCAAAUAUAAUAUUCGGAUAAGAUAUUUUACAAAAAAAGAAAUAAAAUUACUAUUGAUUUUAUAAUUUAAAAUUACAGAAAAUAAAAAUUGAUGGUAUAAUAACAAAAAUUGUUAAAAAAUAAUAUUUAAAUAUUUUUUUUAAAAAAAGACAAAAUUGCUAUUGAUUUUAUAGUUUGAAAAAAAAGAGAUAAAAACAAUUAUAUAAAUUGAUGGAUUUGAAUCCAUCCAUUUUUUUUUAUGGAUAAAUUAGAUGAAUUUAUUGUGGAUGAAUUAAUUGGAUAAUGGAUAAAUGAAUUCAUUUGUCACCACUAGCCUGGGACCUAGUCAUGUCCACCAUAGUGGAAAAGUUAUUUUGACCAUUGGAUUUAAAUUUUUCUUGAGAUAAGUGCAGGCUUAUCUUAAGACAAGUUACACUGGAUUAUUAUUAUUAUUAUUAUUAUUAUUAUUAUUAUUUUCCUUAAAAAGUGUUAUUCUUUCCUGUUCUAGUUUAUCGCCCCUUUCUUUCUCUCUCCGACUCUCCCUUCCAUCUACUUAUUCUCCUCCUCCCCUUUUUCAAAAUGUCAUGCUUCUUCGGUGACCUCAACAACUUCUUUGUCAUCAAGCUCCUCGUCGGACACGUAGUUAGCUAUGGUAGGAUUUGAAUACGAAAGAAUGGGCUUCAACGUCCACAAAAUGCUGAUUGGUGCGAUUGUUACUUUAAUGCAAGUGUAGGUAGGUUUGGAGCUUUGAUGUAGGUUUGGGAUAUGUGUGUGUGUGUGGAAAGAAACACGACCUAAAUUUAGGGGAUAUGUAGAUUAUUAUGCUUUUUUAUGCAAAUAUUGACAAAUUUAUUGCAAACAACACAAAAAGAUAUAUUAAAAGAAUUUCACAAUAAUUUGAAUGAAAUCAUACACAAUCAACCAUAUUAAUCUACAAAGAAACAAAUAAGAAAGCUCUAAAAGCAGCCUGAAUUGAUAUCAACAUUUCUAAUCUUGCUUCCUUGUCUUGAAUCUUUUUGAUUUGUCGCUUCCUUGAACUUAGUAAGAACAACACUUGAAAAAUGGCCACCAAAUAAAUAGAAGCAACCUCAUAUGAGUCAUGAAGAUCGUAGCUUAGAGGUGAUACACUCAGACUCUUAUUCAAAGAACUUGUAUAACAAAUUAUAUGCUUAACUCUGCUCCAAAUGGAACGGAAAUUUAUUCCACAAUGAAUACUAGAACCUGAAAUAAAAUAAAAGUUUUCAAUACUUCUCAGAGUUUAUAAAUGCAUAUAAAAUAGACAUUUAUCUANNNNNNNNNNNNNNNNNNNNNNNNNNNNNNNNNNNNNNNNNNNNNNNNNNNNNNNNNNNNNNNNNNNNNNNNNNNNNNNNNNNNNNNNNNNNNNNNNNNNNNNNNNNNNNNNNNNNNNNNNNNNNNNNNNNNNNNNNNNNNNNNNNNNNNNNNNNNNNNNNNNNNNNNNNNNNNNNNNNNNNNNNNNNNNNNNNNNNNNNNNNNNNNNNNNNNNNNNNNNNNNNNNNNNNNNNNNNNNNNNNNNNNNNNNNNNNNNNNNNNNNNNNNNNNNNNNNNNNNNNNNNNNNNNNNNNNNNNNNNNNNNNNNNNNNNNNNNNNNNNNNNNNNNNNNNUGGUGAUGGUGAUGGUGGCGGGGGAGAUUUAUAGUAAUAUGGAGGAGGUGAUGGUGAUGGUGGAGGAGGGCUCUUGUAGUAAUAAGAAGGUGGGGGAGGAGAUUUGUAAUAGUAUGUUGGUGGUGGUGGAGGUGGUGACUUAUAGUAGUAAGGAGGGUGUGGGUGCGGUGAGGGUGAAGGGGGUGGGGGAGAGUUGUAAUAAUAUGGUUUGUGAUAAGGAGUAGGGGAAGGCUUGGGCUUGGGCUUUUCGCAAUCAUAUGACUUUUCAGGAGCAUAAGCAAAUGGCUUAGCCUUGAGCACAACUUCAUACUUAUCCUUGGACUUCACCUUCAAUUUGGUUCCCUCAUUAAGCUUGGUGGGUAUGUUACAGCGUGAAUCCUUAGGAGGAGCAUGGAGUUUAGCCUUGCAGACUGUGGCUCCAUAUUUCACAUAGUCAAAGCCUUCAACAGUGAUGCUGUACUUUCCAUUGCUCUUAGUUUUACCAUAAGCUUUUAUGGUCUUGCUCCCAACUUCACAAGUCACUUCGACCGUGGCACCUAAUUAACGAUGCCAUUAAAUGUGUGGAUCGCACAUGUUAUUGACAAAUCAAUCUAACAUAUAAAACCAUGACAUUAUUGUUUUCUUUAAUUUUAACGGAAGGAAAUGUUUUGUGAACACAAAAUGGGAUAAUAAAGUUAUUUCUUAUAACAUUAUGAUGUGUUUUUAAAACACGUGUACGAAAAAAAAGAAGCAUGUGUUACAUUAAUAAAUCUUUAUUUUUAAAGGUUUAAAUAAUAUAAAUAAAAUUAAAAUAGUUAACCUAUCCUAGCUUUUUCAUAUUUUGAUUGUUGGCUUCAUUGAUUACAUAAGAAAUAGUCGAUUCUAAACAAUAUUUUCUAUUUUCCAACAAAAAUUGUAUUUUUUUUUAUUGAAAUUCCAACUAAAGUCCUCUUCAAAAAAAAAUUGACAACUUUCUGUUUGAAAAGGGUAAUAUAGGUACUUUAAAAAGUAGUAUAUGUUUAGGUUGGUCAUUUGUUUAAUUAGUUAGCAUAGAUCAAGAUUCUCAAAAAUAUUUUUUUGUUAAAAUAUUUUCUCAAAUUGAAACAUGUUUUAUUUCUUAAUUGAAAUGAUAAUUACAAAAAAAAACUAGUUGACUAAAUAAAAAAAGGAGAAAUUAUAACUGUAAAAUUAUUUUAUAUUAGUUUUUUUUACAAAUUUUAUAGAGAAAAGAAAAAAAUGAGAAAAUAUCAAAUAAUUAAAUGAUUUAAUAGAAAAAAUAAAAAAAUAUGACUAAAAUACUAUAAGAAUAUUAUAUUGUAUUAAAAACAACUGUUUAUGUAUAAAUGCAGUUGAACUUCUCUAGACACAACAACACACACAUAACAAUAUCGAUGUAAUUAUACAAAUAAAAAUAUGAGCUUGAAAAAGAAAAAUUAAUUAAAGAAACAUAUAUGGCAGCCAAUGUCCCAAAUUAAAAUUUUGAGAAAAACAAAAGUACAGAUUAAUAUUACCAAAAAGUAACAUUUUUGAAGUAUUCAUAAUAUUAUUAUUGUGAAUGUAUUAGAAUGAAAUAGUAAAAAAAUAAAAGUAAUGUAGGUACCUUUGAGGUGUUUCUUGUUGUGCGACUUUUGGGGGUAUUUCCAGUCAUAACAUCUAUAACAAUAGACUUUACCCACAAUCUUAACAAUCAAUGGGUGAUGAUAUGGGUGAGGGUGAGGAUAUGGAGUGUAUGGAGGAGGCUUAGGAGAUGGUGGAGGCAGAGAUUUAUAGUAGUAAGGCACAUGAGGAGGAUACGGUGAAGGAGGAGGUGGAGACUUAUAAUAGUAAGGUGGAGGAGGUGAAGGAGAUGGUGGAGGAGGAGAUUUGUAGUAGUAAGGUGGUGGAGGAGAUGGUGAAGGAGGAGGCGGAGACUUGUAGUAAUAUGGAGGAGGGGGUGAGGGAGAUGGAGGAGGAGGAGAUUUGUAGUAGUAUGGUGUUGGAGCUGGGUGACUUCUCAGGUGGGGGAGGAGACUUGUAGUAGUAUGGUGGUGGUGGUGAUGGUGAAGGUGGUGGUGGGGACUUGUAGUAGUAAGGAGGUGGAGGUGAUGGAGAGGUGGUGGCGGGAAUUUAUAGUAGUAAGGAGGG
rnacentral:lncRNA from 1 species